AACGAACGCUGGCGGCGCGCCUAAUACAUGCAAGUCGAGCGAGAAAGACGUAGCAAUACGUUUGUAAAGCGGCGAACGGGUGAGGAAUACAUGGGUAACCUACCCUCGAGUGGGAAUAACUAGCCGAAAGGUUAGCUAAUACCGCGUACGCUCCUUGGACUUCGGUUCAGGGAGGAAAGCGAUACCGUGGGUAUCGCGCUCUUGGAUGGGCUCAUGUCCUAUCAGCUUGUUGGUGAGGUAACGGCUCACCAAGGCUUCGACGGGUAGCUGGUCUGAGAGGACGAUCAGCCACACUGGCACUGCGACACGGGCCAGACUCCUACGGGAGGCAGCAGUAAGGAAUAUUGCGCAAUGGGCGAAAGCCUGACGCAGCGACGCCGCGU
rnacentral:rRNA from 1 species